AAGGGAGAGGAAUACGUAGAAAUCUACCCCUGAGACCGGGAUAGCGUCGGGAAACUGGCAGUAAUACCGGAUAAUGUCUUAGGACCAAAGGUGUGAUUCCACUUGGGGAUGAGUCUACGCCCUAUUAGCUAGUUGGUGGGGUAAUGGCCUACCAAGGCGAUGAUGGGUAGCGGGUGUGAGAGCAUGAUCCGCCUCACUGGGACUGAGAACUGCCCAGACACCUACGGGUGGCUGCAGUCGAGAAUCUUUGUCAAUGGACGAAAGUCUGAACAAGCGACGCCGCGUGCGGGAUGAAGGCCUUCGGGUUGUAAACCGCUGUCGUAGGGGAACAAAUGUACGGGGGUACUCCCCUGUAUUUGAGUGAUCCUAGGAGGAAGGAGAGGCUAAGCUCGUGCCAGCAGCCGCGGUAAGACGAGCUCUCCAAACGUUAUUCGGUAUCACUGGGCUUAAAGAGUUCGUAGGCGGCCUAGCAGGUCAGGUGUGAAAUCCCACAGCUCAACUGUGGAAUAGCGCUUGAAACCGUUAGGCUUGAGGGAGAUAGAGGUAGGCGGAACAGAUGGUGGAGCGGUGAAAUGCGUUGA
rnacentral:rRNA from 1 species